rnacentral:misc_RNA from 1 species
AGGUCGUGUAGUCGUGUCGCCUUAGUGCCAUGCAGUCCUCCUCAAGGCCUGUUUAAACGACUAAGGAGCUGGGGCGGCCUCGCUCAUACUGCACUCGGGGAGGUUUUCCCUCGGCCCGACAGACACUGCACGCGCGUGCACGGUACCAGCCCGCCCGGCCUCGCCUAGCUGCCUGGGAACGUUCCCUCAAGGUCGCCCGCCAGCCGGCCUAUAUCGGCUUCGGAUAAUUUCCCGUCGCGGAAUCCGUCGCUAUUAUCUCUCGACGCUUUGGGGUCGGCGUGGGCGCGCAGUCCCCUGCUGGAGUCCGGGACACGAGCUUUCGGUUCUGCGCUUGUGAUUUACGGAACACUCAGGCCCUUGAGUGCGUCCGGAAUAUUCCAAAUGGCGUGAUUUUGUGUCUCCGAAGUGGCUGCCAUCUGGACGGCGAGGCUUUCGUCCGGAAUCGGGCAAAGCGGUCGACGGAAUCUUUAUAUGCAAUUAUAUGCUGCCUGGUCUUGUUAUGUUUAUACAUGGCUUUGCUGACGCCAGGCGCCACGAUACCUUGCCUCACGUGCCCCCGAGGUUAAUCGGAGCAGCGCCAAGUUUAAACAAGCCCCGUGACACCUGGGGCGUUUGAUACGCUCGCUGGGGCGUGGAUAUUUACAUUGACUUUUGUUUAUUUGUUUAUGAUAUUUGUAAAUAUAUAUGUGGUGAUGGUUGAAACCUCUCUGUAUACCCACAUUUUAAUGAAAGCGAGAACAUAA